rnacentral:misc_RNA from 1 species
CUAUAGAACGUGCAACCGCUAUUUACUUCAAAACAAUUCUGAUCCUUUAGUGUCUGAUGCAUAUACAGAUAUUGCGUGCCAAAAACACACUAGACCAUGAUUCAUGCCAUAGUGGAGGGCUUUAAAAAUCCCAGCAAUCUGCAGUUGUUGAGCGUUCACCGUCGCACACGUAGGCUUACUACUGACGUGUGGCCUCGAUCGAAAUGCAAUGGCUGCGGCCUACAUCGAGCCCGCGACCUUCGGGCGCAACAUCAGUCCUCAACGCCAUCCGAAUGGUCAACAAGGACAAAGGCCCCACGUUGUGCAUCAAACCUUGCAACAAUUAUGUAAAGGACCGUGCAUUCGUUAUGCCAAUGGAAGCCAUACUUGUCAUCCGGGAUGCCAGUGCGCUGUAACACCAAAAUUUUGUGGACCUAACGCUGGGCCCGGCAGUUGUACUCAUGCGUUAUUGUCUACCAGAGGCAAAUGACUCUAAUGAUGCCUUGAAUCUCUUGUCACUGUAGGUGACCUGUUACUUUACCUUGGUUGACCCUGGUUAAUAGAAUAAAGAAAAUACUCGUUUUCAACGCA